UAAAGUCAAAUUAAUUAGUUAAAACUAAUAAAUAAUUACUAUUAAGUACAACUCUACUUUUUAUUUUAAGAGUAAAAUCUUUAUGAAUAAGAUAGGAAUGUGUUAAUGUAACGUCAAUUCUCUUACGAGGCGCUUAUAUAAAGACUAGGAUUAGAUACCCUAUUAUGGGCGUGAGUAUAAGAGUUUAUUAAGUUAGUAGCCUUAAUUAAAGCAAAAUCUAUUUACUAUGGCGGCUGUUAGUCUCACCAGAGUCGUAUGUCCUUAAACGAAACCGCGCGACUAUCUUACCUUUUAACUUUUGCUUAUGUGAAAUAAUUACACUUCAGCAAUCUGGCACGUCGCUGUACUAAAAGUGAAGAUUUUAAAUAACUCAUCUUCUAAUUGUUUAUUAGUAAUUAUUAAUAACGUACAAGUCAAGACGCCGUUUUAAAAGGUUAAAAUGUACGAUUUAAUUGGUUUGAUAGAAUUGAUAAGAAUGAAAACUUUCUUUAUCAAAAUAAUUUGGAAGUAAAAUAAGGUCAUAAUUCUUAUUUGAAAUGAGCUACUAAUAAGU
rnacentral:rRNA from 1 species